rnacentral:rRNA from 1 species
UACGGAGGGUGCAAGCGUUAUCCGGAUUCACUGGGGUUAAAGGGUGCGUAGGUGGGCAGGUAAGUCCGUGGUGAAAUCUCCGGGCUUAACUCGGAAACUGCCGUUGAUACUAUCUGUCUUGAAUAUCGUGGAGGUUAGCGGAAUAUGUCAUGUAGCGGUGAAAUGCUUAGAUAUGACAUAGAACACCCAUUGCGAAGGCAGCUAACUACACGAUCAUUGACACUGAGGCACGAAAGCGUGGGGAGCAAACAGG